rnacentral:tRNA from 1 species
GCACUCGUAGCUCAGUUGGAUAGAGUACUGCCCUCCGAAGGCAGGGGUCACAGGUUCGAAUCCUGUCGAGUGCGCCA